UACGAAGGGGGCUAGCGUUGCUCGGAAUCACUGGGCGUAAAGCGCACGUAGGCGGAUCUUUAAGUCAGGGGUGAAAUCCUGGAGCUCAACUCCAAAACUGCCUUUGAUACUGGGGAUCUCGAGUCCGGGAGAGGUGAGUGGAACUCCGAGUGUAGAGGUGAAAUUCGUAGAUAUUCGGAAGAACACCAGUGGCGAAGGCGGCUCACUGGCCCGGUACUGACGCUGAGGUGCGAAAGCGUGGGGAGCAAACAGG
rnacentral:rRNA from 1 species